AGAGUUUGAUCAUGGCUCAGGACGAACGCUGGCGGCGUGCUUAACACAUGCAAGUGGAGCGACGAACCAGGGCUUGCCCUGGGGCAGAGCCGCGAACGGGUGAGUAACACGUGGGCAACCUGCCCCGAUGACUGGGACAACCCGGGGAAACCCGGGCUAAUACCGGAUGUGCUCCCUCACAUCAGUGAGACGAGUAAAGGAAGCUUCGGCCUCCGCAUCGGGAUGGGCCCGCGGCCCAUUAGCUUGUUGGUGGGGUAAUGGCCUACCAAGGCAACGAUGGGUAGCUGGUCUGAGAGGACGAUCAGCCACACUGGGACUGAGACACGGCCCAGACUCCUACGGGAGGCAGCAGUGGGGAAUCUUGCGCAAUGCGCGAAAGCGUGACGCAGCAACGCCGCGUGGGGGAAGAAGGCCUUCGGGUUGUAAACCCCUUUCAGUUGGGACGAAGGUCGGGCCGUUAAUAGCGGUUCCGGCUGACGGUACCUUCACAAGAAGCUCCGGCUAACUACGUGCCAGCAGCGGCGGUAAUUC
rnacentral:rRNA from 1 species